rnacentral:rRNA from 1 species
GACGAACGCUGGCGGCGGGCUUAAAAAAGGAGAGUCGAGCGAAAGGCCCUGCCUUUUGUGGGUGCCCGGAUGGCGGACGGGGGGGGAAAAACAGGGGGACCUGCCCCUUACCUUGGGGUAACAUCAGGGAAAUGGGGGCAAUAACGGAAGAGAAUCUCUUGUUCCGGGUGGGGGAUGGGAAAAUUUCGCGGUUGGGGUUGGACUUAGGGGUUUCCGCGUUGCUUGUGGGGUAGUGGCAUACCAAGGCUUUGAAGGGUAGCCGGCCUUAGAGGGUGACCGGCCACCUUGGGACUGAGAUACGGCCCAGACUCCUACGGGAGGCAGCAGUGGGGAAUAUUGCACAAUGGGCGGAAGCCUGAUGCAGCAACGCCGCGUGCGGGAUGACGGCCUUCGGGUUGUAAACCGCUUUCGCCUGUGACGAAGCGUGAGUGACGGUAAUGGGUAAAGAAGCACCGGCUAACUACGUG